GGUCAAGCGAGUAAGGGUCCAUAGCGGAUGCCUUGGCGCUAUCCGACGAUGAAGGCCGUGGUAAGCUGCGAAAAGCCCGGGCGAGGAGCAAACAUCCUUUGAGCCCGGGAUUGCCGAAUGGGGUAACCCGGCAGUUGUGAUGACUGUCAUCUCUUAGCUGAACACAUAGGCUUUGAGAAGUGAGACGCAGGGAACUGAACCAUCUAAGUACCUGCAGGAAAAGAAAUCAACCGAGAUUCCCUUAGUAGCGGCGAGCGAAAGGGGAUUAGCCCAAACCGGCCGCGUUUCGGCGCGACCGGGGUUGUAGGGCUUCCUGUAUAAAAGUAAGAAAACGGUUUGUCAGCAGAACGGUCUGGAAAGUCCGGCCAAAGUGGGUGAAAGCCCCGUACGCGAAGCUGAACCGUCUUUUUGGAAGUACCUGAGUACAGCGAGGCACGUGAAACCUUGUUGGAAUCCGGGGGGCCCACCCCCCAAGGCUAAAUACGAGAUAGCGACCGAUAGUGCACGAGUACCGUGAGGGAAGUGGUGAAAAGAACCCCGGAAGGGGAGUGAAACAGAACCUGAAACUAUGGAUCUACAAGCGGUAGGAGCCCGACCACUAGAUUGUUUUAAGAGUCUUAAAGCAAUGUAGUGGUCGGGCGACUGCGUGCCUUUUGCAGAAUGAGCCUGCGAGUUGUCCUGCGUAGCAAGGUUAAGGUACAGGAGUACCGGAGCCGGAGGGAAACCGAGUCUGAACAGGGCGAAGAGUUGCGUGGGGCAGACCCGAAACUGAGUGAUCUACUUAUGGCCAGGUUGAAGCUUGGGUAAUGCCAAGUGGAGGACCGAACACUAGUCUGUUAAAAAAGGCAGUGAUGAGCUGUGAGUAGGAGUGAAAGGCUAAUCAAACUCAGAAAUAGCUGGUUCUCCCCGAAAUGGUUUUAGGAUCAGCCUCAUAUGUUUUUCAACGGAGGUAGAGCACUGGUUAGGCUAGGGCGGGUCAAACCGUACCAAACUUAGUCAAACUCCGAAUGCCGUUGUUUUAUAGUAUGGGAGUGAGACUGCGGGUGAUAAGAUUCGUAGUCGAAAGGGAAACAGCCCGGAGCGACAGCUAAGGUCCCUAAAUUGUGUUAAGUGGAAAAGGAAGUAUGACGGCCCAGACAGCCAGGAGGUUGGCUUAGAAGCAGCCAUUCCUUGAAAGAGUGCGUAAUAGCUCACUGGUCGAGUCGUCAUGCGCCGAUAAUGUAACGGGGCUAAACACAAUACCGAAGCUUCGCCUGUCGGCAUCAGCCGGCGGGGUAGGGGAGUGUUGCGUAAGCCGUCGAAGUCAGGGCGUGAGCCCUGGUGGAGGUAUCGCAAGUAAGUAUGCAGGCAUGAGUAACGAAAAAAUCGGUGAGAUACCGAUUCGCCGAAAGCCCAAGGUUUCCCGGGUAAAGUUUGUCUUCCCGGGGUUAGACGGCCCCUAAGGUCAGGCCGAAAGGCGUAGCCGAUGGGAAACCGGUUAAUAUUCCGGUUCUUCUGAUAAUUUCGAUGGAGUGACGCAUAAGGAAAGCUAUAGCGGGGCGUUGGUAGUCCCCGUCCGAAGCACGAGGUGUUGAGAGUCUCAGGCAAAUCCGGGAUUUGAGCAGAGUGUAAGGCGAUCAAAGCUACGGCGGAGAGAAGUGUAGGGAUUCAUCGUGCCAAGAAAGAGCUUCUAAGGUUCAGGUUAUCAGGAACCGUACCGCAAACCGACACAGGCGGGCGAGACUAGUAAUCUAAGGCGUACGGGAGAACUCGCGUUAAGGAACUCGGCAAAUUACAUACGUAACUUCGGAAAAAGUAUGGCCUAACACAUAAUGGUGAGGUUGCAGAGUCCAAGUGGAAGCGACUGUUUAUCAAAAACAUAUGUCUCUGCUAACUCGUAAGAGGAUGUAUAGGGACUGACACCUGCCCGGUGCCGGUAGGUUAAGAGGAGCGGUCAGACUUCGGUCGAAGCUGCGAAUUGAAGCCCCGGUAAACGGCGGCAAUAACUAUAAUUGUCCUAAGGUAGCGAAAUUCCUUGUCGGGUAAGUUCCGACCUGCACGAAUGGUGUAACGACUUCCACACUGUCUCAACGCGAGACCCGGUGAAAUUGUAGUAUCGGUGAAGAUACCGAUUACUCGUGGUUAGACGGAAAGACCCCAUGAACCUUUACUGUACCCUGAUAUUGAUAACAUGCUGCUCAUGUGUAGGAUAGGUGGGAGACGAAGAUAUUGCACCGCCAGGUGCAAAGGAGUUGUUGGUGAAAUACCACCCCUGAACAGUGUGUUAUCUAACGGAUGCCCGCAAACGGGUAUUCGGACAGUGUUUGGCUGGCAGUUUGACUGGGGCGGUCACCUCCUAAAGAGUAACGGAGGUGCGCAAAGGUCACCUUAUCCUGGACGGAAAUCAGGAGUUAAGUGUAAAGGCAGAAGGUGGCUUGACUGCGAGACAGACAUGUCGAGCAGGUACGAAAGUAGGUCUUAGUGAUCUGGCGGUUCCGAGUGGAAGGGCCGUCACUUAACGGAUAAAAGGUACUCUGGGGAUAACAGGCUGAUCCUGCCCAAGCGUUCACAGCGACGGCAGGGUUUGGCACCUCGAUGUCGGCUCAUCGCAUCCCGGGGCUGUAGCAGGUCCCAAGGGUAUGGCUGUUCGCCAUUUAAAGCGGUACGUGAGCUGGGUUCAGAACGUUGCGAAACAGUUCGGUCCCUAUCUGCCACGAGCGUUGGAAAUUUGAGAGGAUCUGUCCUUAGUACGAGAGGACCGGGGUGGACGAACCUCUGGUGUGCCGGUUAUCGUGCCAACGGUAAUUGCCGGGUAGCUAAGUUCGGACGGGAUAAGCGCUGAAAGCAUCUAAGUGCGAAACCCUCCUCAAGAUGAGAUUUCCCCACACAGGGCUUAGGCUUUGUGUCUGAAGGAAACAGGGAGAACACCUGUUUGAUAGGCUGCCGGUGUAAGCAUGGAAACAUGUUCAGCCAAGCAGUACUAAUGUUCCGUGAGGCUUGACCAU
rnacentral:rRNA from 1 species